CAUUAUGGAAAGUUCCUUGAGUCUGCAACAGUAUACCAUCAUCAGCUGCAAGACACAGUCGACGAAACACUGAAGAAACAUGAGCUUACAAGACCUCUUGCAACAAAGGAGUUUGUCUGGUUUGCUGCCUCAGCGUGU